rnacentral:rRNA from 3 species
UGGACCCGUAAUCCGGGUUGCGGACAGUGUCUGGUGGGUAGUUUGACUGGGGCGGUCUCCUCCUAAAGAGUAACGGAGGAGCACGAAGGUUGGCUAAUCCUGGUCGGACAUCAGGAGGUUAGUGCAAUGGCAUAAGCCAGCUUGACUGCGAGCGUGACGGCGCGAGCAGGUGCGAAAGCAGGUCAUAGUGAUCCGGUGGUUCUGAAUGGAAGGGCCAUCGCUCAACGGAUAAAAGGUACUCCGGGGAUAACAGGCUGAUACCGCCCAAGAGUUCAUAUCGACGGCGGUGUUUGGCACCUCGAUGUCGGCUCAUCACAUCCUGGGGCUGAAGUAGGUCCCAAGGGUAUGGCUGUUCGCCAUUUAAAGUGGUACGCGAGCUGGGUUUAGAACGUCGUGAGACAGUUCGGUCCCUAUCUGCCGUGGGCGCUGGAGAACUGAGGGGGGCUGCUCCUAGUACGAGAGGACCGGAGUGGACGCAUCACUGGUGUUCGGGUUGUCAUGCCAAUGGCACUGCCCGGUAGCUAAAUGCGGAAGAGAUAAGUGCUGAAAGCAUCUAAGCACGAAACUUGCCCCGAGAUGAGUUCUCCCUGAGACUUAGAGUCUCCUGAAGGAACGUUGAAGACGACGACGUUGAUAGGCCGGGUGUGUAAGCGCAGCGAUGCGUUGAGCUAACCGGUACUAAUGAACCGUGAGGCUUAACCUU